CGUGGAAACACCGGCUCCCCUACGAUCACCGAAGUUAAGCAACGUCGAAACUGGUCACUAUCUAGAUGGGUAAGCGCUUGGGAAUACCAGAUGCU